rnacentral:tRNA from 1 species
GGGCUGGGGCUCAGUGGUAGUGCACUUGUCUGGCAUAUGUGAGGCACUGAGUUCGAGUCUCAGCACCCCA